rnacentral:rRNA from 1 species
UACGUAGGGUGCAAGCGUUAUUCGGAAUUACUGGGCGUAAAGCGUGCGCAGGCGGUGAUGUAAGUCAGUUGUGAAAUCCCCGGGCUCAACCUGGGAACUGCAUCUGUGACUGCAUCGCUGGAGUGCGGCAGAGGGGGAUGGAAUUCCGCGUGUAGCAGUGAAAUGCGUAGAUAUGCGGAGGAACACCGAUGGCGAAGGCAAUCCCCUGGGCCUGCACUGACGCUCAUGCACGAAAGCGUGGGGAGCAAACAGG